CAAAUUUGAAAGCUAGCCUUCGGGUUCGCAUUGUAAUUUGUAGAGGAUGAUUUGGGGAAGCCGCCUGUCUAAGUUCCUUGGAACAGGACGUCAUAGAGGGUGAGAAUCCCGUAUGUGACAGGAAAUGGCACCCUAUGUAAAUCUCCUUCGACGAGUCGAGUUGUUUGGGAAUGCAGCUCUAAAUGGGAGGUAAAUUUCUUCUAAAGCUAAAUAUUGGCGAGAGACCGAUAGCGCACAAGUAGAGUGAUCGAAAGAUGAAAAGCACUUUGGAAAGAGAGUUAAAAAGCACGUGAAAUUGUUGAAAGGGAAGCGCUUGCAAUCAGACUUGUUUAAACUGUUCGGCCGGUCUUCUGACCGGUUUACUCAGUUUGGACAGGCCAGCAUCAGUUUCGGCGGCCGGAUAAAGGCUCUGGGAAUGUGGCCUCCACUUCGGUGGAGGUGUUAUAGCCCAGGGUGUAAUACGGCCAGCCGGGACUGAGGUCCGCGCUUCGGCUAGGAUGCUGGCGUAAUGGUUGUAAGCGACCCGUCUU
rnacentral:rRNA from 1 species